GCAUAGAAAGAGCAAUCUUUUCCAGGCUGGUAUGCCAGCAAAGUCUUGGGCACAGCUGCAUUCUCUCUGCAGUUGCAGGAGUGUCUAUAAAUGCAGACAUGGAUUUGUCCCAAGGUAGCCUCUGCAAUAUGAGCAUGGUUACUGUGCCAUUCCCCACUCGCCUCAACCCAGAGAAAUUCCUGCUUUGUCAGAGCGUGGGGUCUCUCUCCCUGACUGUCUCAGGAGAGACUAAAUCUUACCUCUGGCACUUCAACCAAGAGCACCUAGAGGUCUACUGCAGAUAUUUGCCCCCAGCAAAAAGAAGGUUGAUUGUAGCUGUUUGUGCUGGUACUUCUGGGGCUGGGGUUGCUCAGGUGAAGCCCUUCUUGUGGGGAGGUUCUGGUCACUGGGCUAAAGUGAUAAAGGGAGCUAUCCCUGCCCUAAGGCUUUGGAAAGACUUGCAGGAAGGCUUGCCAAAGGUGCCUGGGAAGCACUGGUUCUAGGAUGGAUGUGGACUUUGGGGCUCAGCUAUGUACAUUAGUCACUGCAAAACACCCAGCCUGCACUGAAGACAAAAAGCCCCAGUACUGAAAUGGGAAACUAGCUGCUAUCAGUGCAGGAGAACUCCAGGCUAAAAGAUGAUCUCUGGAAUGAGAGGCACACAGGGAGAGCACUCCCAGGGGUAGCAGGAUUAACCACAAAGACCGGCUUCCGGCACUUCCUGAGCUGUUUGGCUGCGGAGAUCCAGCUUCCAGAGGGAAUGAUUUGAUCGCUGAGUGAAGUGCAGGGUGGAGGGGUCUGCCACAUGAGCUUAUGCUGAUGGCACCACUUCGAGGACCAGAAUUGCUCUUCCUCACCUCUGGGCUCCUUGAGGACUUGGAGUCACUCUUUGCACAGGUAUUUGAGCUUCAGUGGGCACAACUCACAAAAGUCUGGUGGUUUGGCUGGCUUGCAGUGUCAAAUUAUAAAUGAGGGAUUGUAAAAGCUGGCCUGUACUUUGGUUGUGGGAGAUGCGGACCUGUUGAUAACAGGGGCUGGGAGUGGAGGAAGAGGAAGCAGUUUUCAGGCAGUGUGAAAGGCCAGCAUCAGUCCCCCUACUGAGUACAUUUCAAAGGACAAUCUUAGAUUUCUCUGAUUGUUUUCUAAUUCCUAGUUCAUUUGAAAGAACAGCAUCUUCACAAGCAUGGGACUUCCUUGCUAGAUCUUCAGACACCACUAAUAUUUCUGUUUCUGAAGGGCCAUACACAGGCUCAUAGGGAGUUUAAACUGAUGCCACUUGCCUUAUUUUGGCAGAGACCACCAGCUAGCAGAGCAGGUAUGCCCAAGAAAAUCUAAUACAAGAAAACAGGUACUCUGAAAACUAAGGGGGAAGGAGGGAUCUGGAUUGCAAAGGAGUUUUGAAGCAGAUUAAUCCCUCAAUAGCCACCGUCUGUUUGAGCUGUAACUACUAGGUGAUGUUCCUAGAAGUCUGUCUUGGUUGAGAUCAAAUGGAUUGGUUUUGAUUGUGCGAGAACCUUCCAUAUCAAAGUUUGAUCUGACCCUCUGCCAAAAGUUGGUUUUGCAACUAAAACCAAGGUCAGAUGCAGAAAAAUCACUGUGCGCAUUAGUUGCAGAUAUAUGGCUGAACUGUUUCAAGAAACUGGCUUGUAGCCUUUCAUGUUCUGCAGAAAUUACACGUUGAUGCCUCAGGGCUAUCUGAUAGCACUGCAUUGCCUUGGAGUUGUAUAUUUGGCACGUAUCUGUAUAUAUGUCAAAUAAUUAUGAAUCUCCAGAGAAUGUUUCUGCUAAAUCAGCAAAAAUAUUCUUUUUUAUACCAAUGGGCUGGUAAAUGCAGAAAUACCUGCUCUGUUUCACCUGAGCUGGUUACAAGGACUGACCAGUCAGGAUCAGUGCUAUCUCUGCUGUAUAGUCAUGUCUGAACCUUUCCACCUGUAAGCCUGCAGUGGUGCCCUAAAACACCUGCUAAUUCUUUUGCUAAGAAGUAAGGCAUUAGGACAUCUUGCCUUGAUAUACAACAAAACAAGCUGUGGCAGGCUGAACCUCGUCCUGCCAUCUAGGUGAGCUAAUAGCCUGUACAGAGGUUAUCACCUGCCAGUGAACGUACAGAGGCAACUGCACAGGCUUCUCUACACAGCGUUCUGUCUGUGCACUUCCACAGCCCCAGAUCGUGGGGACACUCCAGCUCUACACCUGUGCUGUCGCUUCUGAUAUUCGCUAGAUUAAGCGGGCUUGUUGAUGUGCAGAAAUAUUUCUUAUGUUGAGGAUUCCCAUAUUAUCCUAUAAUCUGUUCUGUUAGUAAAGGAGCGAUUUUAUUGGAGCCUGCCAGCACUGUGCAGGUGUGACUGCUUCAGCUCUCCUAGCAGAUCUGCAUCUGGCUUGUGAGCGUACAGCGUCUGUCACUUUGGCUGAAACAACAGCUCUCAGUUUGCUGUUCUGACAGUACUACCAAUGGGUCCAACUGAUCAGUCGCUCUCUUGGCAUGUUUUUCUUGUGUUCAAUCAGGACGUAGCUUGUAUGUAAACACUGUAGUCUUAUUGUUGUUAAGUCUAAAAGUUCAGGCUCGUUCAUGAGGAAGUAGUUAAAUAGUGUCUGCAUACAAACAGGGACAUCUAAUCUGCUCUUGAUGGAACAGGACCCACAUAAGCCAAGAAGGUAUUUAAUUAGUCUUAACAAAGUACACCAUGAAAUGUAAUCAGAUGCACCCCUGCUUAAUUGAGAGCCCUGUAACUGGAAAGUGAUGCAUUUAGGAUUAGGUCAUCGUUCCUCAGAGAGGACUACCACACAGCUCUUAUUCUUUCACAAAGAAAGAAGCUUAUGGACAAAAAGUUUCCUCUUUGUCCAUAAAGGAGGAGUGAUAACAGAGGGCUUUUCUUGUUUAAAUUUUGUGGUAGGGUUGGCAGCAUUCCAAGGCUAGGAGAAAGAGAUGCAGUAACUUGCCUAAAGUCAAGAUACAAAGUUACAACCAACAAUCCUGAGCUGUAUCUAGAUUUCCAUACUGUCAGCUCAGAUUAAACAGUUACAAAGGUGCUUGACUUGGUUACCUAAUUUUGAAGUAGUGUAACUCAGGCUGGUGUUGUAACAACAGUACCACGCUCUACUUCAAUGCAGCAAUGAAUUCUACCACUCAGUGAGUUGCUGCUGCUACUGCUUGGCUGCAAAAAAAAAGGGCAACAAAGGACAAGAGCCCAGUACUUGUGGUUUCUGUACCACAGUUGGUUUCUGAAAACUGCUUUGUUUUUUUUUCGAGUCAUAGUAAGACAGCAUGAGAGACAACUGCUUUCUUAACA